AGAGCGCUGAUGUAAAUCAUGUAGAAAUGCUGCUUUUCAUGUGUGAGGAUGCGCAAUGAGGGGGCGUUGCCGUUUGGGGUGUAAUGAUCCAAAAGAGGCGUUCAUCACCGAGCCCUCCUCCGUUCUCCAAAUGGCCUACUCGGAUCAUCUUGCCUUCAAUCAAUACUGCCUGAGAGGGAAAAAUCCAACACCUAAAGAUGAUUUGUUGUGCACCGUGACACAUUUCCUAUAAUACUUCAUAUGUGGCGCCUGGACCAGAACCUUUUGGUGAACCAGUUCUGACGUACAUGAAACAUCAAAGGUCACUCACUCAGUGAGUUAAAUCAGAGACAUUUAAAGGCAUUUAUUGACCAUCCUGUGGAUCUCAGCUAUACCUGCUCCAAGGUCGCGUUCAGUCAGCUGUGGAAAAUGUGCGUUAUUCACAAAAGGUGCAGGUGUUCAUGAACUGUGCAUAUGUUUCAUCAUAUUGCUAACAAUUUCAAUCAGCAAGAUGGUCUGUUAUCAUUUUAAGCACUUUUGCAGACCUUAGAAAUAACAUUUAACGUCAAGCACCGAAAGGACCCGGAAUCUGGACUGAGGAUGCGCCUCCGCGACGACAAUCUAGCAAAACACUGUACCUGCUAGGUUAGCAAAACCACUUGCAUCAAUCGCGGAACGAGACACACCAACCGACGACAACCACGUGGAGACUGUGGAGUCUGACCGUGCAGCAGCCACAGCUAAGAUGCAUCAACAGGCAUGUUGCCGAUGGUCAAGGGAAUUUUCAUCCUAGAGGAGACUGAGGGCAACAAAAAAAAUGAAUACUGCAACAAAACGGAGACUGCGGAGUAUACAGUAGACAACAGGGCCGCCAUCCAAAGGAAAGCAGAGACUUUGACGUACAGUACCUGUGUUUGUUAGCAAGGAACGACUAUCAGCUGCUGAUGACACAAUAGACGGGCGAUGGAGGUGACGUCCAGGUUCCUGUUUCCACAUAUUAGCAAGCUGACUGACAAGGCUGCCAAUGUAAAAGCUUUUCUUCCUGGCUCUUUGGACUGUGUAGCUACGAGCCCAGAAUGAUGGGUGAACAGAGCAUAUCAAGCAGUCGCCGUGCCCCUCAAGAAAGAGAAAGUGAAAGUUAAGCUGUGUCUGAAAGAGAGAGAGAUAACAAUGCACCUGCUGUGUGUCUGACCUUUCUUCCAGUAUUUUUCCAUGAGUCAUAUCUAAGUGUUGUGCAACUCUGAUUGUGCUAUGUGAGAAGAAGGCCUUCUAUGAGAAGCUAUUAGACUGACCAUGCACUGAGCUAAUAGGCUGAAUCCAAAGGUGUACUAAUAAUAUUUAACGCUACCAAGGAGGCGUUGUGAUAAAAAUACAUUAAGAACACAGGUGAAGUUCCACAGCGAAUAACAACACGACAAGACGACCAGAUUGUUCACCACCACCAUCACCACCAAGUACGCAAACAGUAUCCAGUAUGGCGGAAAUGAUCAAAUAUUCCAAUGAAAAUGUACAUGACAUUCCGUCUUCCUUACAAAUGUGGUCUAAAUGUCCACAGCGAGUAUUUCUUAUGUGCUUAUG